CCUACGGGGGGCAGCAGUAGGGAAUCUUCCGCAAUGGGCGAAAGCCUGACGGAGCAACGCCGCGUGAGUGAAGAAGGAUUUCGGUUCGUAAAGCUCUGUUGUAAGAGAAGAACGAGUGUGAGAGUGGAAAGUUCACACUAUGACGGUAUCUUACCAGAAAGGGACGGCUAACUACGUGCCAGCAGCCGCGGUAAUACGUAGGUCCCGAGCGUUGUCCGGAUUUAUUGGGCGUAAAGCGAGCGCAGGCGGUUAGAUAAGUCUGAAGUUAAAGGCUGUGGCUUAACCAUAGUAUGCUUUGGAAACUGUUUAACUUGAGUGCAGAAGGGGAGAGUGGAAUUCCAUGUGUAGCGGUGAAAUGCGUAGAUAUAUGGAGGAACACUGGUGGCGAAAGCGGCUCUCUGG
rnacentral:rRNA from 1 species